rnacentral:misc_RNA from 1 species
ACGAGAUAGGCCCUCACGGGUCGACCUCCCACCCUCUGUAUACUAUACUUAUGUUGCUUUGGCGGGCCGCUUAGGCUAUCGGCUUCGGCUGGUAAGUGCCCGCCAGAGGAAAACACCAAACCUUUAUUUUUGAAGUAUGUCUGAAUAAAUCAUAAUAUUA